rnacentral:rRNA from 1 species
UACGUAGGGUGCAAGCGUUGUCCGGAAUUAUUGGGCGUAAAGAGCUCGUAGGCGGUCAGUCGCGUCUGCUGUGAAAACUCGGGGCUUAACUCCGGGCCUGCAGUGGGUACGGGCUGACUAGAGUGCGGUAGGGGAGACUGGAAUUCCUGGUGUAGCGGUGAAAUGCGCAGAUAUCAGGAGGAACACCAGUGGCGAAGGCGGGUCUCUGGGCCGUAACUGACGCUGCGGAGCGAAAGCGUGGGGAGCAAACAGG